rnacentral:tRNA from 1 species
CAUUAAGUGACUGAAAAAUAAGUAUUGGUCUCUUAAACCAAAUAAUAGUAGGAUAAUAUAUACUCUUAAUGA